UGGGGGAUUUUGCACAAUGGGCGCAAGCCUGAUGCAGCGACGCCGCGUGAGGGAUGAAGGCCUUCGGGUUGUAAACCUCUUUCGCUGGGUUGAAAGGCCAUGCUUUGGGUGUGGUUGAUUUGAACUGGUAAAGAAGUACCGGCUAACUACGUGCCAGCAGCCGCGGUAAUACGUAGGGUACUAGCGUUGUCCGGAUUUAUUGGGCGUAAAGGGCUUGUAGGUGGUUUGUCGCGUCUGUCGUGAAAUCCUGUGGCUUAACUGUGGGUUUGCGGUGGGUACGGGCUGGCUUGAGUGCAGUAGGGGAGGCUGGAAUUCCUGGUGUAGCGGUGGAAUGCGCAGAUAUCAGGAGGAAUACCGGUGGCGAAGGCGGGUCUCUGGGCUGUUACUGACGCUGAGGAGCGAAAGCGUGGGGAGCGAACAGG
rnacentral:rRNA from 1 species